GCUGUCACGCCAUGAACAACACAUUCUGAGUACACCUCAUCAAGAUGCUUAACAGAGCCCGGCUGGAAUAACAACAUAAGUGACCCAGAGAUACUUCAUCCACUCCAUCAUGACCGCCAGGGACAGGAAAAAUAUGCUCAGGACUGCGGUGAUGUGGAGAAGAAAGUGGGGAAGAGCCCAGCUGGAAUAACAACAUAAGUGACCCAGAGAUACUUCAUCCGCUCCAUCAUGACGGCCAGGGACAGGAAAAAUACGCUCUUGACUGCGGUGAUGUGGAGAAGAAUGUGGGGGAGGUUGUUUUUUUUAAGCCUAGCGAGGAAUAACAACAUAAGUGACCCAGAGGGAAAGAAAAGAAGUAGGGUCUACCACUGUUGUGCUCUUCUUACUACCCACUAGGCCAUGUAAGGACAGCCACAUUCAUUGUUGCCCGAUAUCACAGGAAGAAAUCCUAACAUUCACACAUACAUUGUGUUUACUAUAUUCGGACCUGUACAUCUUCAGAGAAAUAUUCUCCUCUGCGGAUGUGAUGUAUUGGUCAUUGUCAGACAUUGACCGAAGAGCUGUUA